GCUGUCGCUGACUUUUUAUCACAAAAAGUCGUGCACGCCGGAGCGUGUCCUCUCGCAUAAAAUCCAUCUCACCCUUUUGUGCACCACCGCGUGGGCACCCUUUGGGAUCGAACCGAUCCAGGAGGGCGCUUGCGUUUUCACACAAACCCCCUUAUAAAAGUGUAGAAUGACCCCAUUUUUGCGAUAACACGCAAUCAAUACAACUUUCAACAACGGAUCUCUUGGCUCUCGCAUCGAUGAAGAACGCAGCGAAAUGCGAUACGUAAUGUGAAUUGCAGAAUUCAGUGAAUCAUCGAAUCUUUGAACGCACCUUGCGCCCCUUGGUAUUCCGAGGGGCACACCCGUUUGAGUGUCGUGAAAAUCUCAACCUCCUCGGUUUCUUCUGGACGCCGAAGGAGGCUUGGACUUUGGAGGCCUUUGCUGGCGUCUCUCGCCAGCUCCUCUCAAAUGAAUUAGCGGGGUCCUCUUUGCCGAUCCUCGACGUGUGAUAAGAUGUUUCCAUGUCUUGGUUUCUGGCUCUGUCGCCUUUGGGACCCGCUUCUAACCGUCUCAAGUCGAGACAACGUUUGAGCGUGUCUCCCUUCUCGGGAAACACCCUCGAGCCCACGAACCCUUGACCUCAAAUCGGGUGAGACUACCCGCUGAACUUAAGCAUAUC
rnacentral:rRNA from 1 species